rnacentral:rRNA from 1 species
UAGGGAAUCUUCGGCAAUGGGGGCAACCCUGACCGAGCAACGCCGCGUGAGUGAAGAAGUUUUUCGGAUCGUAAAGCUCUGUUGUAAGAGAAGAACGUGUGUGAGAGUGGACAGUUCACACAGUGACGGUAACUUCCCAGAAAGGGACGGCUAACUACGUGCCAGCAGCCGCGGUAAUACGUAGGUCCCGAGCGUUGUCGGUAUUUAUUGGGCGUAAAGCGAGCGCAGGCGGUUUAAUAAGUCUGAAGUUAAAGGCAGUGGCUUAUCCAUUGUUCGCUUUGGAAGCUGUUAAACUUGAGUGCAGAAGGGGAGAGUGGAAUUCAAUGUGUAGCGGUGAAAUGCGUAGAUAUAUGGGGGAACAACGGUGGCGAGUGCGGCUCUCUGGUAUGUAACUGACGCUGAGGCUCGAAAGCGUGGGGAGCAAACAGG